rnacentral:siRNA from 1 species
CAUGCACUCUUCUCGAGGUGUCU